rnacentral:rRNA from 1 species
GAGUUUGAUCAUGGCUCAGAUUGAACGCUGGCGGCAGGCCUAACACAUGCAAGUCGAGCGGUAGAGAGAAGCUUGCUUCUCUUGAGAGCGGCGGACGGGUGAGUAAUGCCUAGGAAUCUGCCUGGUAGUGGGGGAUAACGCUCGGAGACGGACGCUAAUACCGCAUACGUCCUACGGGAGAAAGCAGGGGACCUUCGGGCCUUGCGCUAUCAGAUGAGCCUAGGUCGGAUUAGCUAGUUGGUGAGGUAAUGGCUCACCAAGGCGACGAUCCGUAACUGGUCUGAGAGGAUGAUCAGUCACACUGGAACUGAGACACGGUCCAGACUCCUACGGGAGGCAGCAGUGGGGAAUAUUGGACAAUGGGCGAAAGCCUGAUCCAGCCAUGCCGCGUGUGUGAAGAAGGUCUUCGGAUUGUAAAGCACUUUAAGUUGGGAGGAAGGGCAGUAAAUUAAUACUUUGCUGUUUUGACGUUUACGACAGAAUAAGCACCGGCUAACUCUGUGCCAG